AGUGAACGCUGGCGGUAGGCCUAACACAUGCAAGUCGAACGGCAGCACAGGAGAGCUUGCUCUCUGGGUGGCGAGUGGCGGACGGGUGAGGAAUACAUCGGAAUCUACUUUUUCGUGGGGGAUAACGUAGGGAAACUUACGCUAAUACCGCAUACGACCUACGGGUGAAAGCAGGGGAUCUUCGGACCUUGCGCGAUUGAAUGAGCCGAUGUCGGAUUAGCUAGUUGGCGGGGUAAAGGCCCACCAAGGCGACGAUCCGUAGCUGUCUGAGAGGAUGAUCAGCCACACUGGAACUGAGACACGGUCCAGACUCCUACGGGAGGCAGCAGUGGGGAAUAUUGGACAAUGGGCGCAAGCCUGAUCCAGCCAUACCGCGUGGGUGAAGAAGGCCUUCGGGUUGUAAAGCCCUUUUGUUGGGAAAGAAAUCCAGCUGGUUAAUACCCGGUUGGGAUGACGGUACCCAAAGAAUGAGCACCAGCUAACUUCGUGCCAGCCGCCGCCGUAA
rnacentral:rRNA from 1 species